AACGAACGCUGGCGGCAUGCCUAACACAUGCAAGUCGAACGAAGCCUUCGGGCUUAGUGGCGCAUGGGUGCGUAACGCGUGGGAAUCUGCCCUUGGGUUCGGAAUAACAGUUAGAAAUGACUGCUAAUACCGAAUGAUGUCUUCGGACCAAAGAUUUAUCGCCCAAGGAUGAGCCCGCGUCGGAUUAGCUAGUUGGUGAGGUAAAGGCUCACCAAGGCGACGAUCCGUAGCUGGUCUGAGAGGAUGAUCAGCCACACUGGGACUGAGAUACGGCCCAGACUCCUACGGGAGGCAGCAGUGGGGAAUAUUGGACAAUGGGGGGCAACCCGUGAUCCAGCAAUGCCGCGUGAGUGAUGAAGGCCUUAGGGUUGUAAAGCUCUUUUGCCAGGGAAGAUGAUGACUGUACCUGGAGAAUAAGCCCCGGCUAAC
rnacentral:rRNA from 1 species